rnacentral:rRNA from 1 species
AUUGAAAGCUUUUGGGAGGUACUGUUGCUGGCUUUUAACAAGGCAUGUGCACGUAUUUCUUAAUUUCAUUCAUCCACCUGUGCACCUUUUGUAGAAUGUCUCGUAUUCAAAUCGGCUUUUUGCAAGUCUCUCUAGGGAGUUCUUGCGGAAUAAUGUUUUGGAUUAGAGCUUCUAUGUUCUUACAAACUCAGUUAAGCAUGUUCAGAAUGUCAAUUUAUUGGGACUUGAUUGACCCUUUAAACUUUAUACAACUUUCAGCAACGGAUCUCUUGGCUCUCCCAUCGAUGAAGAACGCAGCGAAAUGCGAUAAGUAAUGUGAAUUGCAGAAUUCAGUGAAUCAUCGAAUCUUUGAACGCACCUUGCGCCCUCUGGUAUUCCGGAGGGCAUGCCUGUUUGAGUGUCAUUAAAUUCUCAACUUCAUUAAUUUUUAUAAUUGAUUGAAGCUUGGAUGUGGGGGUUUGCUGGCGUCUUUCAGAUGUUUUCGGCUCCCCUUAAAUGCAUUAGUAGGAACCCGUUUGUUGGCGUCCAAAGUGUGAUAAUUAUCUACGCUUUUGGUUAGUCUAACAGGCUCGAAUGGAAGUUAUACCAUUUUUUCAGGACACUUCGGUGUUUCUGGUAUGGGUUUUGUGCACUUCGGUGUGCUUUGCCUGGGUAUGGGGUUUUGCGUACUUUGGUGUGCUUUACCUGUGUCUUUUCAUUAGAGUUUAGGAACUCUGCUUUCUAACCGUCUACGUAUUGUGGACAAAUUUUGACAACUUGACCUCAAA